rnacentral:lncRNA from 1 species
CUAAAUUAUAAAUUAUUCAGUACUUAUCACACCCCCAAACCUAUGUUUCGCUAGUCCUCGAGCAAAAUAAAACUAGAAAAGAAGAAUUCUAACUCACUUUCGCAGGCAUCGCGGUUACAUUUACCAUAUGUAAUAAGGCUUUAAACCCCUAGGUUACCCUAGUGGACGAGUUAUAGUCUCGUGAGGGUUUUCAGUGAAGAUACCCACAAACUUCAAUAAAUCAUUU